CCUCAACACAUGAGUUGCUGUCAUAUAAAGGUUCACCUGGCGAAUGGCAUUCAGAUUUACUGGGCUGCUGUUCAGAACCUCUUCUUUGCAUGAAAACCUUAUUUUUUCCUUGUGGCACACUGUCGAGAAUUGCUUCAGUGGCAGCUAAUAGACACAUAUCUGCUGCAGAGACAUGCAACGACCUGUUGGCGUAUUCUUUAAUAUUGUCAUGCUGCUGCUACACUUGUUGCAUCAGAAGGAAACUCCGCAAAAUACUCAACAUCAAGGGAGGCUUAG